UCAGCAGGUUCAAAGCCCUCCAGCUUCGGUCACAUUCCAGUCAGUCAGCAUCAGCUCACAACAGCAGAGUGGACUUGACAACAGAGGGUAAGUUUACUGCCCCAAACAUUACACACAAUACUGUCAAUGUUUGACACUUCAUGUCAUCUAUAAUUGUUAAUCUUUUACAUUCUGAGCUGGUAUGAAAUCGGCAAAAUGCUUGGUGAGGGAGGAUUCGGCUAUGUCUAUGAAGGGAAACGCUUGGAGAUUGUCGUUGAGGUGGCAGUGAAAAUUACCAACAAGCCAAGGAACAUGAAAUACAUCUAUGUUUUAAGUAGGCUACACUCACCGCGCAAACAUACUGACAACAUUUUUGUCCAAGACUGGACUAAAGUCCUUACUUGAAAAAACAGCUCCAUCUAACAAUGAUCUUUCUUCAGGCCUGGUCAUCCUGCACCUCUUCCAUUACAGGCUGGCUUUUAACUCCUUGUUAAUUAAGAGUCCAGAGUUACUGAGAUCAAUCAGCUGCUGGACUGGCAGGACCAGCUUGAAUGUUACAUCAUGGUCUCAGACCCUGCUAAGAUGUGUACAAUUAUACCAUGCUUCAGGGAGGCUUCGUGAGCGAGGUCACAGCACAGUUUAUCAUGGCACAGGCAACACAGGCCACUCACAUGUGCUGUCAAUGAGGAGUAUUUCACCGGGACAUAAAGAUGGAGAACCUUCUGAUCAACCCAGAAACGAUCGAGGUCAAACUGAUUGACUUUGGGUGUAGGGAUCUCCUGCAAGACUCUGGCUAUGAGCAAUGUUGUGUGAAAAUUUGUAGUAUUUUAAGCUUACGUCAAAGCAAAAUCUCAUUCCUUCGGGCACAUCAGAGUACUGCCCACCUGAGUACUACGUGGACAAACAGUACCAUAGGAAACCAACUAUUGUAUGGUCUCUGGGAAUGCUCUUGUUUUUGUUGGUCAAAGACAGAGCUGACUGGUUACAGCGUCUGGUUGAACAGUAAGAUGCCAUUCAUCACAACAAAGAAGACCAACUGUAAAUGAAAUCAUGCAAAACAAGGAAACAGAGGAACAGGUAAAACACUUAGGCCAAGUAGCUAUAUAAAAGAUGGAUAAUACAGAAAUUGUACUUUUUUUCUGAUUGUACAGUGUAGAAUGGUCAGAUCUUACAGCUUAAUACAAAGAGAGCAGUUUAUGGUAAUAAUCUGACUCUCUCAUCUCUUCCUCUCUGUAGCCAAAUUUAUUUUCUAAUUAUAAUGUAUGUAGGCAAUAACCCUGAUUUCAGUAUACUUUAUUUUUUGCUGCAGGUCACCAAACAGCCACGGACGCCUCAGAGGUUCCUCCAUUUGCCGUCACACAGUUGUCAGUCUCAGCUGCUCCAUCAGUUUAGUGCCUGCUGUCUGCUGGUCUCUCAAUGACUUAGCAUGCCAAACCCUGGUAGCAUCUGGUGCCUUGGUUUGAGCCAGUAAUAUUUGUGUCUGGCAGUAUUACUUGCAUAUAUGGUGACCCCUUAUAUAAAUGUAGUGUAAAUGGUAUUUUAAAAAUGUUGUUAUUUUUGUCUCCAGUUACAAUAGCUAUUUGCCACCAUCUUUGUUUAAAUGAAAAUGUAGUCAGAGUAUACGGAAACUACAGAAUACAUAGAAGUCUUCAUUUUAAAAUAAAGUUUUGUUUUUGGUAACA
ensembl:lncRNA